AUUGAACGCUGGCGGCAGGCCUAACACAUGCAAGUCGAGCGGAAGAAGGGAGCUUGCUCCUGGAUUCAGCGGCGGACGGGUGGGUAAUGCCUAGGAAUCUGCCUGUUAGUGGGGGAUAACGUCCGGAAACGGGCGCUAAUACCGCAUACGUCCUGAGGGAGAAAGUGGGGGAUCUUCGGGCCUCACGCUAUCAGAUGAGCCUAGGUCGGAUUAGCUAGUUGGUGGGGUAAAGGCCUACCAAGGCGACGAUCCGUAACUGGUCUGAGAGGAUGAUCAGUCACACUGGAACUGAGACACGGUCCAGACUCCUACGGGAGGCAGCAGUGGGGAAUAUUGGACAAUGGGCGAAAGCCUGAUCCAGCCAUGCCGCGUGUGUGAAGAAGGCCUUCGGAUUGUAAAGCACUUUAAGUUGGGAGGAAGGGCAGUAAGUUAAUACCUUGCUGUUUUGACGUUACCAACAGAAUAAGCACCGGCUAACUUCGUG
rnacentral:rRNA from 1 species